UACGAGGGCGCGAGCGUUGUCCGGAUUUAUUGGGCGUAAAGAGCUCGUAGGCGGCUUGUCGCGUCGAAUGUGAAAACCCACGGCUCAACUGUGGGCUUGCAUUCGAUACGGGCAGGCUAGAGUUCGGUAGGGGAGACGUGGAAUUCCUGGUGUAGCGGUGAAAUGACGCAGAUAUCAGGAGGGAACACCGGUGGCGAAGGCGGGUCUCUGGGCCGAUACUGACGCUGAGGAGCGAAAGCGUGGGGAGCGAACAGGAUUAGAACCGUAC
rnacentral:rRNA from 1 species